CAGUAGCCGCGGUAAUACGAAGGGUGCAAGCGUUACUCGGAAUUACUGGGCGUAAAGCGUGCGUAGGUGGUGGUUUAAGUCCGUUGUGAAAGCCCUGGGCUCAACCUGGGAAUUGCAGUGGAUACUGGGUCACUAGAGUGUGGUAGAGGAUAGUGGAAUUUCCGGUGUAGCAGUGAAAUGCGUAGAGAUCGGAAGGAACAUCUGUGGCGAAGGCGACUAUCUGGGCCAACACUGACACUGAGGUACGAAAGCGUGGGGAGCAAACAGGAUUAGAUACCCGUGUAGUCCCUGUCUCUUAUAC
rnacentral:rRNA from 1 species